CCUACGGGAGGCAGCAGUGAGGAAUAUUGGUCAAUGGACGAGAGUCUGAACCAGCCAAGUAGCGUGAAGGAUGACUGCCCUAUGGGUUGUAAACUUCUUUUAUAUGGGAAUAAAACGUUCCACGUGUGGGAUUUUGUAUGUACCAUAUGAAUAAGGAUCGGCUAACUCCGUGCCAGCAGCCGCGGUAAUACGGAGGAUCCGUGCGUUAUCCGGAUUUAUUGGGUUUAAAGGGAGCGUAGGUGGAUUGUUAAGUCAGUUGUGAAAGUUUGCGGCUCAACCGUAAAAUUGCAGUUGAAACUGGCAGUCUUGAGUACAGUAGAGGUGGGCGGAAUUCGUGGUGUAGCGGUGAAAUGCUGAGAUAUCACGAAGAACUCCGAUUGCGAAGGCAGUUCACUGGACUGCAACUGACACUGAGGCUCGAAAGUGUGGGUAUCAAACAGGAUUAGAUACCCUUGUAGUC
rnacentral:rRNA from 1 species